rnacentral:misc_RNA from 1 species
GUAUACAUUCGCGUUCCUCGUAGUGCGAAUGCGUGCGCACAUUAUUUUCAAGUUUCAAAUCGACCGAUCUGUUCCAUCAUCAAGAGUUUUUUUUAGAACGUCCAUCGCAGAACUUCUCCCAUAAAAAUAAGUCAAUUAAACAGGCAAAUAAAGAAGCAUCAACGAUGCAUCCAGUGACAAUAUCUAUCACCUUCUUUGCUGUAUUCACGACGCUGGCAACUACUACGUCUACGGCGUCUAACGAACAGAUUGAUUUAGCCACUUUAAAAUCCGCCGUUCAAAAAUUGGAGAAGGAAUCUAAAUCUCUGCAAGAUUUGGUAGGAAAAAUGGAUCUCAAAGAGAUAUCAGACGGUCUAUCAACAAAUUCAGAGCGUUUAGAAGAAACGAAAUUAGAAAUCAAGAAUUUGAAGAAGGAGUUAACAGAAACAAAGAGUGUAGCUGAAAAGUUGAAGAUGGAAUUGGCCGACACAAAAAAGGAGUUACUCAAAAUUUCACAGGAUUUGACAAUGUCGAAGAGUAGUCUUUUAAAUCAGUUGAAUGGUUUACAAAAAGAUACUAAUAAGGAACUGAACGUCGUCAACACGACAAUGCGUAAUUUGGCAAAGGAAAUGAAAGAAAUUUCGGUCGGUUUUGAAAAUAAGUAUUCCGCAUUAUCUUCCGAACUUCAGGUCACAGCUGCUAAUUUAACACAAGAUUUACACGAAACUGACCUGAAAAUUGAUAUCACGACAUCAGUAAUGCUCAAACUUGAGGAAUCUUCCCAACGAUCAGCUGCCGAAGCUAACAUCGCUUUAGAGAAUUUAACGGAGGAAUUACAAGAGAAACUUGCAGCCAAUAAGCAAGAGUUGGACGAGGUAAAGAUCAAAGUUGGAAAUUUGACAACGGACCUGAAAGCUAGAACGAGCGAAAUAGUAGACAUUGGUAAAAUUCCUACAUCCUGUUCUGAUCUGCAACAAAUCGGAUACAAAACAAACGGACUAUUUUCUGUAAUGGGAAACACAUCGGUGGAAACCGUUUACUGCAACUUCCAUGCCAAAGAAAAGGAUUUGCAGAAAUGGAUUGGAUCGAACGACAUCAAGUCGGUGCCGACCUAUUUCUACGCCACGAGAAUCACCCCAUUUUCAACGUUAAAAACUCCAAUUCCAUUCGACCUGGCCAAAGUCAACAUCGGAAACGCCAUGGAACUGGCGUCGGGGAAAUUCAGGGCACCGAGAUCAGGGAUUUACUUCUUUUCUUUCACGGGCCACGCCCUUUUCCCUCAAUCUGUUUCCGAGGUAGAAUUAGCGGUGAGUCUUUACCUGAACGGCAAUCGAGUCGGCUGGGCGGAGGUAGAAGAAACCAACACCUCCGAUGGCCAAUUUAGUCCGUUGACCCUCCAGUCGACCAUCAACUUGAAGGCGGGCGAUCAAAUUUGGCUGCAGAUCGUGUCCAUUUCAGAAGGAACGGUCCUGUUCAACGCACGAAAUCAUUACACUCAUUUCACAGGGUGGAUGUUGGAGGAAGAUAUUGUUGCGUCACUGUGAAUAAAUAUGUACAUCGUUAAGUGACUGAAGCAAAUGUGGCAAUAUAAAAUUACAAGCAGCAAUAAUCUUAAUGAAAAUAACACGACACUCUGUACUACAAAUCUCUGUAAUACAAGCUGACAAAGUA